GAUCCUGGCUCGGGAUGAACGCUAGCUACAGGCUUAACACAUGCAAGUCGAGGGGCAGCAUGGUCUUAGCUUGCUAAGGCCGAUGGCGACCGGCGCACGGGUGAGUAACGCGUAUCCAACCUGCCUUACACUCUUGGACAGCCUUCUGAAAGGGAGACUAAUACAAGAUGUUAUCAUGAGUAAGCAUUUUCACAUGAUUAAAGGUUUACCGGUGUAAGAUGGGGAUGCGUUCCAUUAG
rnacentral:rRNA from 1 species